rnacentral:lncRNA from 1 species
CAUACAAACAUACAUACAUACAUACAUACAUACAUACAUACAUAAUACAUAGGCGUAGGAGUGACUGUGUGCUAAGUAGCUUGCUUACCUACCACAUAGUUCCGGGUUCAGUCCCAUUGCGUGGCAUCUUGGGCAAGUGUCUUUACGCUCCCAUAACUUAGCGGUUCGGCAAAAGAGACCGAUAGAAUAAGUACUAGGCUUACAAAGAAUAAGUCCUGGGGUCGAUAUACUCGACUAAAGGCGGUGCUCCCGCAUGGCCACAGUCAAAUGACUGAAACAAGUAAAAGAGUAAAAUAGUAUAGACACAAACACCACUCACACACACGUGUAUAUACAUACAAAUAGAUAUAGGUAUAGAUAGAUAUAUAGUUAGAGAUAUACAGAGGGAUGGAAUAAUAAUAAGAGAGUGAAGAGAUAUGUCACCAAUUCUGUAAAUGAAAACACUCUAGAUGUGCUUUUCUCCAGUCAAUUUGUUGUAUAUUACAUAGCUGUUUUUUUUUUCUGCGCUUUUGUUGAAACAAUUCGAAAUUCUUAAAAUAUUCAGUUUUCUUGAAUUUCUUUUUAUUUCAUGUUAAUGGCAAUAUGCUGCUUCUUUCCACUUUUAGUUUGAGUGGGCGAAACAAGAAUGUGUACUUAUUUAUAUAAGUGCAUACAUACACUCACACAUAUGUUUCAAAUGUUUGCUUCUUAAACUUAUCUUACAUUAACACUUCUUUUUCUUUUAGGUUUGCUGGGGGAUCAAUCAUUUUCAAUUUUUCAGUAUGUAAUAGAAGUAACGAUAAAAGUAUUUCAAAGAGAACAGUAUAUUUAUCUUAGCAUCUGGUAAGGCUCGUGUAGGACUUUAAAUUAUGUGUUAUUUGCAUGGCUGUUUUGAUUUACUUUUAGUUGUGCUCGUGACUGUAUGUCUAUAUUUGCGUUCUUAAUUUCAAGAGGUCUCUUAAAGAAAACAAUAAUUGAUCAGGUUUUCGUAUGUAACUCCACCAUCAACAAAUCAUUACUUAAAACCGUAGGGAGUAUAAUUCUAGAUGAUAUUUUGUCCAGCUUUUACUGAAAGGAGCAUUAGUUGAAAUAUAUGUUUUAUAUAUGAAAUAUAAGUUGCUAAAAUACCCAAAGGUGGAGGCGCAAUGGCCCAGUGGUUAGGGCAGCGGACUCGCGGUCGGAGGAUCGCAGUUUCGAUUCCCAGACAGGGCGUUGUGUGUGUUUACUGAGCGAAAACACCUAAAGUUCCAAGAAACCCGGCAGGAGUGGGGUGGGGGGGUGACACCUGUUGCACUCUUUCGCCCCAACUUUCUCUCACUCUCUCUUCCUGUUUCUUGAGUAACGCUGCGAUGGACUGGCGAAAUUUUGGAGGAGAUCGACUCCAGUACGCAACUGGUACUUAAUUUAACGACCCCGAAGGGAUGAAAGACAAAGUCGACUUCGGCGGAAUUUGAACUGAGGUCGUAAAGACAGACGAAAUAUCGUAAAGCAUUGCUCCCGACUGCUAACGUUUCUUAUUUCUUUACUGCCCACAGGAGGCUACACACAGAGGGGACAAACAAGGACAGACAAACGGAUUAAGUGGAUUAUAUAUCGAUCCCAGUGCGUAACUGGUACUUAUUUAAUCGAACCCGAAAGGAUGAAAGGCAAAGUCGAUCUCGGUGGAAUUUGAACUCAGAACGUAGCGGCAGACGAAAUACCGCUAAGCAUUUCGCCCGGCGUGCUACCGUUUCUGCCAGCUCGCCGCCUUAUCAUUUGGAAGUAUUAACUAAUCAUGACAUACUGUUAAGAACGGUCUGACUCUGUGAAGUGCAAAUUGCUCUGAACGUCAUAAAUUGCAUUAAAAACGUAUGAACAUCACAACGUUCUCUUCUCCCCUGAAGUCAAUGAUGCGGGCGGCUUACUGUUGGAUAUACAUAAUUAUUAAAUGCCAACCGUUUGCAUUUUUCCUAUCUAAUUACAUCUUCGUGCUAUAAAUAAAAUAUUAUAUGAUUUAUUUCACAAACUAGCAAAUCAUGAGAGGAAUAGACAAUAGUGCAUCAAACGAUAGUUUAGAAUCUUUCUAUAAUAAAUAUCAAACCACACUCACAUAAACACGCAUGCGUGCAUGGAGCAUGAACACACACACACACACACACAACCACACACACACCACCACACACACACACAACCACACACACACACACACACACACACACAUACAUACAUACAUACAUACAUACAUACAUACAUACAUACAUAUGCACACAUUUUUCAUGGGCAGCUUUGACUUUUUCUGUCUAAAAGGGCUUGGGCAUCCCAAUAAUUAAAUGGUCUUAUUUAUCGCUUUCUGUGUUUGCGUUGGGGUAUUCCAAGAAAGAAAAAAAAUUAUUUCAUUUCUUUUAUGUUUUUUCCUCUUUUAUAUGUUUCACUUGUUAGGUUGUUGCUGUGUGUUGCAGCACCAUCUCGAAUUUUAGUCGGACGAAUCGACCCCAGUACUUAUUUUUUCUAAGCUUGGUACUUAUUCUAUCGAUUUCUAUUGUUGAACUGUUAAGUCAUGCGUAUAUAAACACACUAACAUAGGUUGUCAAGGAGUGGUGGCUCACACACACACAUGCGCAAACACACGUACACACACACACACAUACAUUCAUAUAUAUAUAUAUAUAUAUAUAUGUAUAUAUAUAUAUAUAUGUGUAUAUAUAUGACGGCGUCUUUCGUUUUCCAUCGACCAAAACCACUCACAAAGCUUCGGUUGGCCCUGGAGUGUAAGCAGAAGACACUUGCCCAAGUGCCAUGUCGUAGGAGCGAAUCCAGAACCAUGUGUUUGAGAUGGUAUACAUACACACAUACAUAUACAUACAUACAUACAUACGUACGUACGUACAUAUAUAUAUAUAUAUAUGUACGUACGUAAUAUAUAUAUAUAUAUAUAUAUAUAUAUAUAUAUAUAUAUAUAUAUAUAUAUAUAUAUAUAUAUAUAUAUAGAUAGAUAUAUAUAUACAGGGGUUGGACAAAAUAAUGGAAACACCUAAAAUUUUCAAACAAAUUUAUUUUAAUAAGGGGUAGGACCGCCUUUGGCAGUACUUACAGCUUGAAUUCUAUGGGGUAUGAACUCGUACAAAGUUUGAAUUGUUUCCAAAGUAAUUUUUGUCCAUUCUUCAGCUAAAAUAAUCUCCAGUUCUUGUAGUUGUGAUGGUGGAGGAUAUCGACCCCUUACUUGUUUUUCUAAAAUGCACCAAACAUGUUCAAUAAUAUUGAGAUUUGUGGACUGUGGUGGCCAGAUAAGGUGUUCAACUUCACUAGAAUGUUCCUCGUGCCAUUCAGUAACAACUUUAGCUGUGCGAAUUGGUGCAUUAUCAUGCUGAAAGAUUGCGUUUUCCUCUGGAAACAGUUCUGCAACCAUAGGAUGAAAGUGAUCAGAUAAAAUGCUUAAAUAGUCUUGACUAUUAAUUCUACUAUGAAGGGCAUAACCAUUGGGCCGGCGAAUUUCCAAGAUAUCCAGAUCAUCUGUGAUGAUCUGGGUAUCUUGUGAUGAUCUGGAUAUCCAAGAUAUCCAGAUCAUCACAAGAUAUCCAGAUCCACCAAGAUCAUCACAGUUCCUCCUCCAUGUUUAACAGUUGGAAGAAGGCAGUCUGGGUCAAAUGCUUCUUUUCGCUCUUUCUACACGCAUACUCGGCCGGUGAUUGGAAAUAAGGUAAAUGAUGACUCGUUCGAGAAAAUAACAUUCUCCCACUGCUUUAGAGACCAAUUCUGUAGGUUUUUACUCCAUUCCAAAUGCGUUGCAACGUUUGUGCUUGAAAGUAGCGGUUUUCUGAUUGCAGCCCUUCCAAGAAAUCCGGCUUUGUUGCAGCUGCCGGCGAACAGUUUUUGUGGAAACAGGGUUCUCGAGAUGGUCAUUAAGCUCUGCAGUAAUUUUGGGAGCUGUAUUUUGUGAUCCUUUCUAACAAUUCGCGUAAGAGUUUGACAGUCCCUAUCUGAAAGUUUUGGUUUUCUUUCGGAGUUUUGUUUCGCGAAGAGGUUUUUCCCUCUUUCUCAAAGACUGUCUUUCGAGACAGUACUUUCGAGACAAUACUUCUUGAUACACCAAACAUUUCGGCUGUUUUUGUUACGCUAGCGCCUGCCAUACGAGCACCAACAACUUGACCUCUUUGAAAGUCCGAUAGAUCUGCCAUUUCAAUGAAUUUUAAUUACCUGAUGAUAUCUGCAAAGAAACAACAAUUUUAGCAAAACAUACUAAGCAACACUAAUCAUAAAUGAAAAAAAAUAUAAAAAGAAACAAGCUUUUGACGGUUUUAUAAAUGUUUCAAAAUUAUGACGCUAUGAUGCUAGGUGUUUCCAUUGUUUUGUCUAACCCCUGUACAUACAUACAUACAUACAUACAUACAUACAUACAUACAUACAUACAUACAUACAUAGUAGAUUAUAUGUGAAUAGUAAAAUUUCAAUCUAUUAAAUGCUUCAUAAAAAUAUAUAUGUCAAAUAAAUAUUUCGAUAUAAAAGGUAAACAUUCUCAUUGAAAUAAUACAUGCAUAUAUUUGCCUUUUAUAUCGAAAUAUUUAUUUUGCAUAUAUAUUUUCAUGAACUAUUUAAUGGAUUGAAAUUUUGCUUUUCAUAUAUGGACUGAUAACCCAGAAUUUUGUCUCAAAUCCAAAAUCUUCCAUAACAUUCCAAUAGCCUAAUUUACUUUGAGUACUAAACAGUUGUGCUAUAUACGAAGUAUAGUUCUCCCUAUUCAACACACACACACACACACACACACAUACAUACAUACAUACAUACAUACAUACAUACAUACAUACAUACAUACAUACAUACAUACAUACAUACAUACAUACAUACAUACAUACAUAUAUGCACACAUACACACACAUAUAUAUGUAUGUAUUAUGUGUGCGUAUGUGCGUGUGUGUACGAUCGAAGAGACCUCAAAGAGGCUAUUGUGUUAACCUGUAUCUACAAUUCUUGUAUUAUUUAGUAAAAUCCACAAAUAGAGUAUAGUGACCUAGCCGUAAGGAGUGGAAAAUUCAACGUUUCGGGAAAAGUUGACAGAAGAUAGAUUAUAGAGACACAGCAGGGUUUUACAUCCAUUCAGUAAGUACGAUCUCACUGCGGGGAAACUUGCUUUAGUAUUUCUAAUGAAAGCCUUAAUAUCUUCUGAGUGAAAUUGCGAAAUCCCGACAUAUGUGGAUGCGCCUGUUUUUGUAUAAAUUUUUAUGAAAUACAUAUUUAAAUCCGUAAAAGAAAGUAACUCUACAAAGAUCGUCAUUAUCAUCAACAUUAGGCAGCGUAUGUUCUCAGCUAUUUGAAUACCACACGUCCUCGAGGAUUCAUUCCUUUUUAUAACUUUAUAUAUCUGUUUAUACAUAUACAUAACCACGCACAAAAACGCACACAUAUAUAAUGUUUACCUACCUACCUACAUACAUACAUAUAUACAUGCAUACAUACAUGGUGGCUGCCCCCUUGUUAUCGAGUAUGGCCAUUGCACGAAGCUUAAUCAAUGUUGUUAUCGUGCAAUGCCUGUGCAAGAAGAUUUUUUUAAAGUGAGGAAAGGCUGUGCACUGAGUCAAUCCCACUCAAUAAGCAACAGCGGCCAUAAUCCGAAAAGAAGAACAAGUCAACAUCAUCGCUAACCAUUGAGUCGCAGGUUUCAUGUCGGAGUUAUCCCAGUUACCUGAGUUACCUUCUACUAGAAGGAUGCCCUAACUAAGGCUAGGAGUCCUUCACUCCCAAUGGUUUAACUGCGCGAUCGGGUAUUCAGUCCGAUUAUUUCUAUGUCCCCGCGCAUGAUACAGCCUUAAGACAUUUAUUGGAUGGCCGUUGACUCUCAAGAGUUCCUCCGCCCUUUGACGGGUUUUGUUUUUUCAUCCCGCAGGGUGUCCAAUAAACACCCUCCUCACCAAGCAAGCUUGGUGGGGUUGCCGGUUUAGUCGCCGACGACCCGACCAUGCAACAAAUUGUACUGGGUUACAUGUUACCAGUAGCACUCGAAAGUGACCUGACGUACAUACAUACAUACAUACAUACAUACAUACAUACAUACAUAUAUAGUAAACCAGCAAAAAAAUACAGUAAACUUGCCGUGAGAUAAGUUGACAGAAAAGGAGUCAUAGGGUGACAGCAGGGUUUUCACAUCCUCUAAGUUGGGAAAAUAUUUUCUGAUUGCUGGUAGGAUUGAAGAAUAAAGAAGUCUGCUUUGUAACCUAUCCGCAAUCAGAAAAUAUUGAACCACUAGAGGCAUAUUUGUUAAUCACUGUGUAUAUGCGUGAAGUUUCUAACCAACUAGUUCAUUCUCCAAAAUUUUCUACUAGUCUUGCAACUUGCCUUAUUGCGACUCUGACGUUACUAAAACUUGCUUCAACAAUCCCCACAAUUUCAAGUCAGUAUGAUGUCAAGUUGCUACGAUGUGUAUAAUACGUCAAACUGAUCGGAACCGAGAAAUGCUCCAAAAUAACCAUUUAGUGAUUCUAAUCUUACAUAGGUCAAAGCCACAGAUUUUGGAGAAGUGUGGUUAAUCAACUUUAUUGAUCCUGGCAUUUAACUUGUAAUUAAUUUCAUUAUUGACCUGAGAAUAAUGAAAGUCAAAGUCGACGUUGGAGGGAUUUGAACUCAGAAUUUGAAAGGACAUCACUAAUUACUGCAAAGUUGUUCUAUCGAUUCUGUCAAUUCUCCGUUGUUAAUGAUGAUUGAUGACAAAACAAGAAUAUUGAAGAACAAACGACUUUCGAUUUGGUUCGGAAUUGAGCUGGAAAGGUUAAUUCAAUAUCCUGGUCUGGGUUAUAUUCAGUAAGUGAACGUGCAUCUGAAUGAAGUAGUGGUGUUUGGAAGCAGUAUUUUAACAAUGUCGAUAAUGGGAGAUUAAACAGAAGAAGAGAAAAACAAGAAAAGACGAGAUCAAUAAGGAAACGCUGAAAACUUUAAUACAUACCGUUCUUUCUCAUGAAACAGGACUAAUCUAUACACGUUUGAAAGAUCUCGAACAAUAUAUAUUGUUCGUAAUCUCUCAAUCGCUUCCUAACCACGAGAAAAUAAAGCCCCCCUCCCAUAGGAUACAAUUAUUGUGAGAGCUCAAGAAUGGAAAGAUUUCUGUGAGUGAUCCAUUCUUACAAUGCAUAUAAAAUACCGGAAAGUCUAGGAAAUGUUAUGUGCGUGUUUGAAUUCUUUAAUACAAAUCACAUAUAUUUUAACAAGUAUUAAAGAAAAAAAUUGUCACUUUGUAAUUACUUCCCUAGAAUUUCCACUUUCUUUUAGACGAUUCUUGGAUUCAUGAUUUUUCCGAUGUUUCAUCAUUCAGAAUUCUGAUGUCCCAAUGCAAUAAACUUAGGUUGCUAUACGUACAACAUUAUCUCAUAUACAAUCAAUAUAGCUAAAGCACAAUUUACGUCUGGGUCAAUAGACAUGGUUUAUCAUACCAUCGAUGAAUAAAGUUAUUUUAUUUAUACAAAACAUUCCUUCUCUUACAUAUUCUAUAGGUCACUCUAAACCUCUUUUGCAUCAACAAAAUAAUCAAUAUCAUACGCCUUAUAAUCCAUAAUUUGUUUUUAUUACGCUGUUUUCGUUUUUUUUUGUCAAUUUGAAGGUUCAAUCGCCCACACGAAAAUCGUUACUUCAAUUGUAUAUAAAAAUGUGGACGUUUAAACAUUAACAGCACAACAAAUGAAUUUAUAGUAAAAUCAACAAAAGAUCACAAUGAUGAUUAAAAAGUAUUGGGUUAACCCCUUGAUACCAACUUACUGUUUAGAGCUAAUAAAACAAAUUCAAACAGUCUCCAAGCCUAUAAAACCGCAAACGCAUCUUUCAAAUAUUGAAUUCUUAUGAAGAAUACUUUUUAUGUUAUGCAGUAACGUAUUUUUAUCCUUAUAUCUGUGACACAAAUUCUGCGAGUUAUAUUAGUGUUAUUAUAAUGGAACGUUGGAAAAUGAAAUAUUAGCUGGAAGAUUUCAGCUAAAAUGAACCGAUAUUCGAAAUGAAUGACUACAAUUAAGCUUUAGCGAUGUUAGGGGUGAUAAUAUGGCGAGUGAGACUGCGGGGAAAAUGUUAUCUAAUUUAUUAACUGAGAUGAUCUUCCACUACUUUUGCUACAUUUUCCGGCAAAACCUAUACCAUACUUUAUAACCACUCUUCCAUGCGAAUGUUUGACCACCACAAGAUAGUUAUCCUUACGCUAAAUUGUUCAAGCCAACACAGUAGUUUCUACAGCGUCACUCGAUCUGCUGGACAUAGCAGCUAAUGUACAUAAAUAAAGGCAGUGAGCAGGGUAGAAUCAUUUGCGAGCAAAAGGCUAAGCGGCAUGCCUUUCAGCUCUUUACGUUCUCAGUUCAAAUCCUGGAGUUCAAGAUCAAAUGAAAGGAAAGCCAUCAAAUAAUAUUCUAACGUUUUAUUUUCAGCCAUAGCACAUUGAAUAAUGUAAUCCUAUACACCCCUAAAAAUAUGGUAUGAUCCUGACUGGAAUGCAGCUCCAUCAUUGGUUUGCUGGGUUAAAAAGAGAGACCAACUACAUUCUCUGAAUUUACAUUAGUGAAUAUAGAAAAUAUAUUCAGAAAUUCGUAUUUGAUACUCUAGGAAAUGUUUGCUUUCCACUUAUUUUGGUUUCAUCUGAGACCUUUUGAGCGUCUUGCGUUUGGAUGCCAUAUCGAUCAUUAAGGAAUAUGAUCGUUUGUUACAGACUGGCAAUUACUGUUCUGGAUCAGUUGCUAUUUCUGACAAUCUUCUUAUCCUAUAAUCUUUCUGCUUGGUCCUGGCGUCUUAGUGAGUGCCCGGAUAGCGUCGAUAUAGGCAUAGAACGAUUUAUGCAAUCGAUAGUAGUCAUUUUAAAUGUUUUACUAAGCAAAUAUCGCUAUAAAACCAGCGUAUAUCAGAUUUAAAAGAAAAUAUAUGCAAUUUAGGGCACUAGUCUUGCCAAUUCAGUUACCUACCUCUACUUCAUAUCCAGCAUCGGGUUGAUAUUCUGUCUUAGCCAGUGUAUUAUAUCCAUAACCAAAGUACCUAACACGGGAUUGACUCAAUCUACCUACAUAUAUCUAUAUUUGUCCUCUGAACAGGAUGCCGCUUCGUCAUAUGAUUAUUCGUUUUUGCCAACAAAGUCGACUACAGUAACAUAAAAUGAAAUGUUUUACUAAAAAACAGUCCAUGUCAUGAAUCCAACACAACUAAACACUAGGCUAAACGCCCCCACAACUGAAUAGUGGCUCGAUGUAAUUGAAUGGCAAAAUGUAUAUUAAUAUAUAUGAAAAAUAUAUAAGGUGGCGAGCUGACAGAAUCGUUAGCACGCUGGGCAAGAUGCUUAGUGGCAUUUCGUCCGUCUUUACGUUCUGAGCUUAAAUUCCGUCGAGGUCGACUUUGCCUUUCAUCCUUUCUGAGUCGAUAAAAUAAGUACCAGUUGAAUUCUGAGGUCGGCGUAAUCGACUUACUCUCUCCCCUUAAAUUACUGGCAUUGUGCCAAAAUCUGAUAUCAAUAUUUAUCAAAAAUAUAUUGAAGUGGAUCUGAAUGUUCGAAGAAGAAUUCCAACUGAGUAAUAUAAGACGCAAAAAUAAUCCUUUCCAUCAAUUAUUCAUUUUCUAUUCCCGUUUCUUUCAAUGGUCAAUUCCGUCUAUUUAUGAUAUUUAUAUACAUUUAAUUACAUUAAACGCAUAUAAAUUUAUAUACAUUGAACUUCACCGGUCUUCAGAGGAUAAUGGAGUCUUUCGAUAAGACAUGCUCUUAACUCGGCAAGUUGCAUUGUAUAUAAAAUUCCAUUUGCAUUGUAUAUAAAAUUCCGUUUGUAGUUUGUCUGGCUGAUAUUCAGUUAAGGAGGAUCAAUUGCGGUCUUGAUGGAAGUUAAAAGAAUGGAGAUAGUAAAUAAAUAGUUAAUCAAAGAAGUGCCAAUUAAUGCAUUUUAGCGGAGCAGCAUAAUUCAAAGAUUUUAACUGACAAAAGAGAACAUUAGCAAAAUGGCUCUUGAAUUUUGAUAUAGUUUGCAAACUAAUGCAAGACUAUUGCCAUCUAUGAUUAAGCCUGUGAAGUUUAUCACAGAGAUUAAUGUAACAUAAUUACUUUUCUUGACGUCUUAGUUACGGGAUCAAGUUGUUAGUAGGUAGAUCAUUUUUGAUUAAAUAAGGAAUCAAUCGCAAAAGCAUUUGAAAUGAUUUAAACUCUUUCAUUUCAUUGUUAGAAUCAAUUUUAACCGAACUAGAGAAUCUUUCAAGUCUGUGAAUCCCAAUUCUAUUAGUUAUUCUGCUUUCUUAUCCUACAUACUUCAACGAUUUUUCUUUUGACUGCAGUAACGACUAAAUUUGUAUGGAAGGAAGGAAGGAGAUAAAUUGGUAAUACAAUGAAAUCGAUUUAAUCAACGCUAAUAUAUUGCUUAUUAUUACCACUGUUGCAUCGCUGAAAACGAAAAUUCUCAACUUUUUUGUAACUAUUGAUUGCUUUAAGGUUAAAAGUCUCUUUGCAGCAAUGUGAUUUCGAGCUCGAUCUUGUUAUGUGGCACCAUCUGUUAUUAUUUUUCUACAGCAGCCUUGGAUCUACCAAUCACUUAUGCGCGAAAUAUGGUCGAUAGAUGUGCAUUGUGCAGAGGACCAUAUAUAUAUAUAUGUAUGUGUGUAUGUAUGUAUGUAUGUAUGUAUGUAUGUAUGUAUGUAUGUAUGUAUGUAUGUGUAUGUAUGUAUGUAUGUAUGUAUGUAUGUAUGUAUGUAUGUAUGUAUGUAUGUAUGUAUGUAUGUAUGUAUGUAUGUAUGUAUGUAUGUAUGUAUGUAUGUAUGUAUGUAUGUAUGUAUGUAUGUAUGUAUGUAUGUAUCUAUCUAUCUAUCUAUCUAUCUAUCUAUCUAUAUAUAUAUAUUAUGUCACGUCUGAUAGAGCAAAAGAGGCACAAGAAGCAGCUGAUAGAAAUAACACCAAGGAUUUGUACUCUUAUAUUAAGGUGUUAUAUGGCCCAAAAUCUUCAAUAGCUCUAGUGAGCACAGAAAAUAGACGUUUGCUUCUGACUGACACCGCUUCUAUUCACAAGCGCUGGGUAGAACGUUUUUCUGCUCUUUUGAAUUGACCAUCAUCCGCUGACAUGAGAAUGAUAGAAAAAAUCGAACACCUUCCAGUUAUUUAAGAGAUGGCAUUUGAACCAACUCUAAAUGACAUUUAUCUAGCUGUGAAUAAGCUGAAUAACAAUAAGUCUCCAGGGUCAGAUGGAAUCUGUGCAGAAGUCUUGAAAUAUGGGGGUGACAAAAUGUUUGAACUCUUAAAUAUAUGAAUUUGUUACUGUUGGAGAACUGAGAAAGGGCCUCAGGACUGGAUUGAUGUUAUUUUAGUCUCCUUGUGUAAAUCGGGGCCAAAGGAUGUGUGUGGUAAUUUUCGUGGGAUUUUGCUUUUGUCUGUGGUUGGAAAGGUACUUGCCUGUAUUCUGUUAGAACGUUUAAAUACCUUCAUAGUUACAAAUAUGGUGUCUGAGUUUUAGUGUGGUUUUCGCUCCUCCAGGGAAUGUUUUCAAUCUGAUCAGACUGAAAUUCAAAACGAAGGUUUUUACUUUACUCAUUAGGGAACUCUUAUACGCUGAUGAUUGCGAUCUAAUCAGUCAUUCUGAAACUGCCCUGUUGAUUACAUCCAGUACAUGCUUUGCUUUCAAUUGAGACCGCUAUAAGACAAGGCAAUACAAGCAAAAAGAAGGAACCGUCCCCACAAGAUUAUAACUGCAUACAUCUGGUAUAUAUUUUAUACUUUUCUAAGCGAUAAGGCAGCCUUAGAAAAUAAACAGCACCCGACUUAAUACUAUCAAACUCCGCCGUCAGUUUUGUUUCUUGUUUAGUAAAAAUAUUUCAUUUUAAUUAUUUGUUAUGCGUUUGCACAUUUAUAUAAAGAGAAGACAGGAUCCAUCAAAAUUCUAGUAACAUAUUGGCACCAAACGCUUUGCUAUGAGAGAUUCCAAACCAAAGCUAUUCUAUAGAAAACACUUCACCCACCACGUUAUUUAUGUUUACCCUGAUGGCAUUGAUGAAAAUGGUCGUUGAUUCACCGGCGAUCUCAGUUAUCGGGUUGAAACAGUUAUAUUUCGAGCAGUAACGUGUAUUAAACUGGCUUGCAACUCUCAGCCUUCGUCGCAGCACGUGGUGGGUGGUGGUUCAACCUCCGAGAUGUUGUAUCUUGUAGAAGUUUUCGUAGCAUUUGUGAGUUCCAGAUCGACGGCCAACUCGGCACAUUUGUAAAAUAAACGAUCACAUGUACGUGUUUGUCAUUACCGGUCUAGUCCAGUUGGCUCCGGUCAACUUGCUACCCCCUGAGACCAUUACAUAAUUAUUUAAUAAUUAUACUGUUUAUUUCAUAAUGGAUAGCAUCUGAAACCGUGUGACACCUAGCCUAUAUUUAUCAUUUGGCACACGCUUGAGCUCACGUGAAGAACUACAACAAUUCGGAGGGUAUCCUUCCCCACGUUGCUAUCAAUGUGGGACAGUCGAAGGCAAUUGAAUCAGGAAUAGCUCUCUCACUCACGUACAUUUGCUAAUCGGACAACAUCUUGUUGGUUUUGAGCGUCUACCGGCACUCACUGCAUAUAUCACAACAGCUGUUUCACUCCAACUUGAGUCAUCAGUUUCUCCAAGCAAGCAAUAUACGCUCCUUAGAUAAGGAGGAUCCUGUAUUACUAUAAACGAUCCUCCCAUCUAUUGCUACUACAGUAGCAGAUGGCUAGACUUCUGUUUCUCAUUCCCUACCCCCUUGUCUUAUUGGUUCGUUCCUCUGUAAUCAGCUGGUAUCGUAGAAGCUGGCACUUGAUAUAUGUCGGCUAGCAUCAUCGUUAUAAGAUGAUUUAUGAAUGUAAGGCAAUCAUUCUCCCGGUAUGUUGUUGUUGCUGUUUUUCUUGACCGAGUGCAUACAUAAAUUUCAAUGAUUCAGCGAUUCUAUAAUUAUUCAGUUACGUCUAAAAUACGUAAAAAUCUGUUAAUUACAAGGCAUGUUAGAUAAUAUAAUUAAUUAAUUAGAUUUGACAUGUUACUGCACAUUUAAUGGAGAAUGAGAAAUGAUGUCGCUCAUGAAUUAUUGAAACACCUGCUUCUCAAAUGUGUUGUUAUCCGUUAACAUUUAUCUGUUUCCUAUGGAUUCUGCUGCUUCAAGAUGGCAGGGUACUCUACGUGGUCACUUGGACUACUAGAAAUGAUAGCACAAACUCUCCUCAUGUUACUCCCUGCAGUCUAAAAGAUAACGGAUACAUUGGGCAGACUAGUCUUUCAUAUGCGAUAAGACAUAAUGGUCACGGCUGAAACGCCUUUAAUGACACAUCUGCUUGAUCAGGCUAAUGGGAGACACAAACAACAACAACAACAACAAGAGCAGUUAUGUAAUGUAGAAAAAAGAAGAAUGAUAGAAAUUUCUGAGAGCAGAAAUGGAAACACGGUUUACAACCCAGACAUCCUUUCUAGUUCAUUUGUAACCAUUUCUAAAGAAAUUACGGUGAUGUACUGCAGGAUUAGCAGUGACGUUACCGGAGGAGAUAAAACCCAGUUGAUUCAAUAUCAGUCUGGAGAUAUGCCCAAACCUCUGGUUUAUGAGAAACAAUUGUUAGAGAAAUCCUUUAUGUUUUUAUUGGACAUUAAUUUUAAAAUAUAUUAAAUUUAAAAUUACAUGGAAAUUAAACAUAAAAUGGUAAAAAAAAAAAUAGUUACUGAUUUAUAGACUCAUUGUUCUUGGCAGAAUAUAAUUAUUGGAACCGAAGAAUUAUGGAUUACGUAGUUACAAACACUGUCCAAUAAAGUACAACUUUUUAAAGUCCUUGACAGUGGACAUUAAUUUCAAAAGGACUUGAAGCGAAGAAAAAUUCAAACGGAAGAAAUACAGUAGAAUCGAAAAUAAUUAAAUGAGGGAAGAGACGAAUGUGCCAAUAUUAGCAAAUGAUUUAAUUAAAUUUAAUCAAAUUUAAUCAAAUAAAUACAUAAAGGUGUCUUUAUUCUUUUCACCAACGACAAAAAAGGAUUCUAACUGAACGAUUCUCUCCCUUGCUAUUGAGGCGAAUAACCAACCGAUCAACUGAGUGAUUAUUUUGAUAUAUUUAUAUUUACAUUUGUGUUUUUCUUAAUUUUAAUUCGUUCAUUCUUUACUCAUUCUUUACCCUCAUUUAUUUCCAUAACUUUAUUAUAGUUUUAGAUAUUUUUAUGUAACUCUGUCCAUCCCCACAAGUUUUAGUAAACUCUAUGACUGAAUGUCGCUAAAGUAUUGGCUAGAAUGCAUUAUUUGUUUAUUGUAAAAUUUUACGUUCUGAGUUCAAACCAUGCUGAGAUUGACUUCCCUGUUAUCCCUUCGAGUUCGAUAAAAAAAAAAAGUACCCGAGUAGAGCGGAAGACUGGUAGAAUAGUUAGAGCGUCAGAAGAAAAGAGAAUUGAAACAUAGUUCCGUUGGUUCGAUUGUCAGAAGAUCGACUGCUGCCAUCACAACCACCAUGUUUAAAGUUCAUUCUUUUCUUUUGUAUGUUUCGAGCACUUGUGACUAAUAAGGAAAUUCUUCUUCUUCUUCUUCUUCUUCUUCUUCUUCUUCUUCUUCUUCUUCUUCUUCUUCUUCUUCUUCUUCUUCUUUUUCUUCUUCUUCUUCUUCUUCUUCUUCUUCUGCUUCUUCUUCUUCUUCUUCUUCUUCUUCUUCUUCUUCUUCUUACUAUUAUUGUUAUUAUUAUUAUUAUCAUCAUUAUUGUUAUUUGAAGCGUCGAGCUGGUAGAAUCGUUUGCAACGCCGGGUAACAUGCAUAGCAGCAUUUCGUCCUUCUUUACGUACUGAGUUCACAUUCCACCAAGGUCGACUUUUUCUUUUAUCCUUUUGUGAUCUAUAAAAUAAUUACUAGUUAAGCACUUGAUCGAUAUAGUCAACUAGUCCACGCCCACAAAAUUUUAGGGCUUGUGCCUAUAUAACAAAGGAUUUUAUUACUGUAAUAAUUUUGUUGGCAUUGCGUCGUGCUUUCAUUGCAAUACCAGGAACAAAUCUGCAAGCCUUGUGUACGAGCAGAGUUUUUGCUUUGGUGUUUGUAUUUUUACAUUGUAUUGAAAAUACUCCACGUAAUGCGUACAAACUCUAAUAAUUCUUGUUUACCGAGAGUUCUUUUCUAGAGUUCUUUACUGAGAGAUGUAUAUACAGUGUUUAACCAUUCUGUUUUCAAUAGGUGCCCUUGGAUUUUGGCAUGUAUUCAUCAGUAUAGUUUGUUAAAUAAUAAUUUCCAAAGCAUCUAUUAUCAUAGAGAUUUGUUUCUGCUUUCGAUUCCACCAUUCUAGUUAUCUCUAUUUGCAAGUCUUUAUACGUUCGGACAGAUUUUCUAUUCUUUUUAAGUAUGUAUAUUGUUGUCCGUUGCUUACAGUUGAUGCAUCGAUAAAGAGACAUUUCUUUCCUUGAUAGUAUUAGACCACAAUAUAUUAUUGCCGAUUAAUCUCUGUGUGUAGACUGACAUAUCCUACAGCAAAUGACCAUUUUGUAAUAUCCUGUGAUCCUUUCCAGUAUGUACACCAUUAGCUACUAUGAGUAUUUCAUAAUAGUUGUCUAAUUUGAAUUGUGUGGUUGUGUUAUUGUAUGAAAUGUCCAACCAUAACAGUUUGAUACAUACACACACAUUUAUAUAUAUAUAUAUAUGUAUAUAUAUAUAUGUAUGUAUUUAUGUAUGUAUAUAUAUAUAUAUAUAUAUAUAUAUAUGUAUGUAUUUAUGUAUGUAUGUAUACUUAAAUCAGUAAAACAUCAACUAUCGAUGAUACUCAAUCCAUACUUUAAUACACCAUUACAUAUGAGUAAAGGCAAUAUAUAAAAUGAAAUGAGAUAUACAGUAAUAGUAAAAAGAUAAAGAGAUAUAAGUAAAAAAUUUCAAAUAUAAUAUGCAAAUAAAUCAAAACUGACAGCUGUUUCGGCAGUGAGGGCAGUCAUACCUCAUUUAACCUAUAAGCCAUAAAGGCAGUAUAAAUGAGGCUAAAGAUCCCAGGCCUCUUCAGAGAAUUAAAUUAAAUUUGUUAUAAUAGUGAAAAAUAUUAUAUAAUCAUAUACAUAUAAAUAUAAAAAUAUAAAAAUGUAAAAUAUAAAAACUUAUACAUCAUAAUCUACACUUAUAUAAUAUAAUACAUUUGUAUAAACAGAAAAAAUAAAACAAAAUAUAUAACAGUGUAUAUAUUAAUAUUAAUAAGUACCGAUAUUAUACAUAUUUGGCUAAUAGUUUUUAUAAAAAAAGCUAACACAUAUGGAGAUGAAAAAUAAUAAUUAAAACCAUGGUACAGUACAUAAAAUUCUAAAGCUAUAAAGUUAAUAAAAUUACUAUUAAUAUUAAUAAUAAUAAUAAUAAUAAUAAUAAUAAUAAUAAUAAUAAUAAUAAUAAUAAUAAUAAUAAAAAUAAUAAAAAUAGAUACAGUUAAGUUAGCACAAGUCCAUCCUUUCAAGAUCGAAAUAAUAUAUAUAUAUAUAUAUAGAGAGAGAGAGAGAGAAAGGGCAGAGAGAUGUAUGUAUAUAUAUCUAAAGAUACACAUACAUACAUAUGUGUGUGUGUAUACAAUCUUAUCUGGUAUACUUGGCAGCAGCAACAAUGUGAUUGAUUAGUUUUUUUUUCCACAAAAGCAAACUUAGCCAUUCGAUAAACAAUGAUCGAUAAAAUAUUAUCAGACAAAAUACGGGGGUCGAUAUAAUCGACAAAAAUCUACGAAGACUUUUACUAGUAUUGCCACUGACCAAAGAGACCACAAAAGGAAUAUAAGAAUAAUCAUUGUUAAAACGAACGCUAUUUGCUGAAUAUAUAUAAGUAUGAUCUGCAGAACUUUUCUUCGAAUGUUAUAUCAUCCAUAAUAUUACGUGAAUGAUAAGGCGGUGAGCUGGCAGAAGCGUUAGCACGCCGGCCGAAAUGCUUUGCGGUAUUUCGUCUGCCGUUACGUUGUGAGUUCAAAUUCCGCCGAGGUCGACUUUGCCUUUCAUCCUUUCGGGGUCGAUAAAUUAAGUACCAGUUACGCACUGGGGUCGAUGUAAUCGACUUAAUACUUAUGUCUGUCCUUGUUUGUCCUCUUUAUGUUUAGCCCCUUGUGGGUAAUAAAGAAAUAGGUAUUUCGUCUGCGGUUACGUUCUGUAUUCAAAUUCCGCCGAGGUCGACUUUGCCUUUCAUCAUUUCGGGGUCGAUUAGAUAAGUACCAGUCACGCACUGGGGUCGAUAUAAUCGACUUAAUCCGUUCGUCUGUCCGUGGUGGUCCCCUCUGUGUUUAGCCCCUUGUGGGUAGUAAAGAAAUAGAAAUAGUUAUUUCGUCUUUACAUUGGAGUUCAAAUUCCGCCGAGGUCGAUUUUUGCAUUUCAUCUUUUAGAAGUCGAUAAAUUAAGUACCAGUUGCGUACUGGGGUCUAUCUAAUCGCCUCUCCCCCUCCCCCAAAAUUUCGGACCUUGUUCCUAGAGUAGAAAAGAAUAUUUUAUCAUCGAUUACUGCAUAUCCACUGGACUGUCUGUGUAUCUGACCACUGGUAUACUAUAUUUAAAUUAUUUUCUUCUUGAUAUUUAUUAAAUGUCAUUGCAAAUGCGAGAAGCAGUCGAUGAUAUUUCAUGAAGGUAGGAUUCGUAUGCCCGCGCAAAAUCGUAUUAUAUUGCCUCGGGUUAA